UACGGGAGGCAGCAGUGGGGAAUUUUGGACAAUGGGGGAAACCCUGAUCCGGCCAUCCCGCGUACGAUGAAGGCCUUCGGGUUGUAAAGCACUUUUGGCAGGAAAGAAACGGCACAGGAUAAUACAUGCAACUGACGGCCACCUGCGGAACAAGCACCGGCUAACUACGUGCCAGCAGCCGCGGUAAUACGUAGGGUACAAGCGUUAAUCGGAAUUACUGGGCGUAAAGCGUGCGCAGGCGCGGUUUCGGAAAGAAAGAUGUGAAAUCCCAGAGCUUAACUUUGGAACUGCAUUUUUAACUACCGAGCUAGAGUGUGUCAGGAGGUGGAAUUCCCCGCAUGUAGCAGUGAAAUGCGUAGAUAUGCGGAGGAACACCGAUGGCGAAGGCAGCCUCUGAAAUCACUGCUGACGCUCAUGCACGAAAGCGUGGGGAGCAAACAGGAUUAGAUACCCUGGUAG
rnacentral:misc_RNA from 1 species